rnacentral:misc_RNA from 1 species
UCGCAAAGAGCAAAAUUAUAGUAGGACACUUCUAUCCAUUAAAAGUUAUAAAAAUCUGUGUACAAAUUGGUUUCAGACAUUUUAUUUCAUAUAUAGAAAAAAAGGUUGCACGUUUGGCGUUUCAUUAUUUGCACACACACACACACACACGCACAACACCAACCCAACCACUCGCACUCACGCACGCACACACGCGCACACACACACACACACACACACAAAUAUCAGAUAAAUUUAAUAAGACUGAUAAUUAAACUGUUUUAUUUCUGUCAGAAUAUAGUUGCUGUCAUAAAUGUAAUUAAUUGAAAACUGCAUUUUCAUUAUGGAUACAAAAAAGCAGUAUGGAGUAUUGAAGUAUCAAUUUAAAAAUGAAAGAGGUAACCGUAAUAGGAUAAUUCAAAGGACAUUUAGGAAAUUUAUUUCGAUUACCUUCGUUUCUUGCAUGAUAAUUUCAACAGGCUUUUAUGUAUGAAGUACUUGUUACGAAGCAUUCAACAGCACAUUUGAAGAAAAUUUGGAAGUCAUAAAUAAUUAUCCAAUAGGUAGCGCUGAGAAGUACUUUAAGCGAUUAGGUGUUAAUUAUCUUGAACCGACACAAAUUCGUACAUUUCCUGUUUUUGUAACUGCGUUUGACAGUUCUCACUACAAUGAAUCUCAAGGCUUAUUCAAAUGUCUUCAUGAAAAUUUCCUUUACAAUCCAAAGUAUAAAAAGGAUGUGCUAAUUGUUGUAUACGAUAUUGGACUGACGGAACAGCAAGCCUUAACGGUGAAGAAAUAUUGUAAGUGUGAACUCCGAACACUUCAAUUUGAACAUUUUCCACUGCAUGUCAGAAUACUUACGACAUACGCAUUCAAGCCAAUCAUUGUACAGGAAAUGCUGAUGGAAUAUGGUUUUGUUUGGUGGGUCGAUACUUCAAUACGUUUUACCACUAACGACAUUGAUUUACAAAUAGCUUACACCAAGACGCAUAGUAUCCUUUACACAGUUUCACGGAAUUUUGCAACGAAAGGGACAUUAACAAAAAAUACACUAAACGCAACAUUUGAUUAUUUCCACGAAGAUCGUUGCAAAUUUAGACCAUUUCAUGAAGUAUGGGCAACUACACUCCUUUUUAAUUUUGAUCACGUUACACGUUCCAUUGUCAAGGCAUGGGUGAUAUGCGCGUUAAACAAACCCUGCAUUGCACCGACUGGAAGCGAGUAUAAGCGGGGAUGCAGCUUGAAAGAAAACUACGAUGGCCGGUGUCACAGAUUUGAUCAAUCUGCAAUUGGUAUUAUAACAAGAAGACUUUUCCACGAUCAGGAUUAUCCAAUCGACAACAAUCUAACGCUUAUUUACACAAUUAAGCGUGAUGAAGUAGUACAAUAUUUCAUAUGAUUAUAUAUCAUAUGAUGUAUUUGCCUAUGACUAACAUAUAUGUAAAGAUCUAUUUCUUUAAACAUACAUAGCUUAAUGCAAUUUUUACAAUUGACCCAAACCCAAUUUUUGCUAUAUUCAUAUAUAGCAAUGGUUUUGUUGUGUUGUACCAUGUACAGAUUCAGCAAAGUCUGCUUUAAUUGUUUGAUUGCGUUUUAUGCUCAUAAAGAUGUGUUUUAAGCGUACAAAUACUUCAAACAACAUUUUUUUCUUACAUCUCAAAAAAGACAUAUAUUACGAAUCAAGGAAAUAAUGCCUUUUAUAGUAGAAUUCACCUCACAGUUUAUAUUUAGUACAUUUCAAAGAAUUUGAUACAUUCCUCGUACUGAGAUAUAUA